CUUUUCCACUCAGGCUGCUGGGCCACUGGCCCAGGCUGGGCACAGAGGCUGGGGAUGCUCCAUCCUUGGCAACAUCCAAGGCCAGCUGGGAGCAGGGCUCUGAGCAACCUGUUCUGGGGGAAGAUUGCUCAGCUUGGAACAAGAUGGUCUUUAGGGUCCCUUCCAAGCCCAAGCACCCAGGGAUUCCAUCAUUCUAGCAUCUCCCUUGUCCACUUCAGCCUGGGCCUGGGCUCCUGGCACUGAUGUCACAGUGCACGCUCCAGCUAGAACUUCCAGCAUCCAGCAACGGCCACAACACAACCCUUGGCUCCUUGUGUCAGCACGCUCUUCACCCUGCUCCAGGCCUACCCCUGUCACCUUGUUGUCACCUGCUCCCUCAUACCCCCAGCAGUCCCAAAAGCUCCCCGUUGAGUGCAUUUUGCUCUCCAUCCCUGCAGGAUGUCUGCAUUUGCUCCAAAGAAGGCUGUCACAGACACAGAGGAGGAGAUGGAGAUGGAUACACAGAUGGAUACGGACGAGAAAAUGGAAGUGGAUGGAGAGAACACCGGAGAGGAAGAGAUGGAUGUGGAUGUGGAUGUGACAGAGGAAGAAAUGGAGGUGGACGUGAAAGACAAUAUUGAGGAGAUGGAUAUUGAUAUGGAAGACGAGGAGGAGGACAUGGUGUUGGGAUGAAGACCGAUGCCAGCUGCAGAACAGGCAGGUGCUCCCCACAGGCAGAGUGGGUCCCCUGCUGCCAGCCUGGGGCUGGGCUGGGCACUCCCUGCUCAGGGACACGCUAGCCCAUGCACUGGAUUCUGCUGGCCAUCCCUGGCCUGGCCUGGGCUUGCUUUGGGCCACACAAGCCCUGUUCCAGUGCCUGGGCCACAGCCCCCAGCCCCAGCCAGCCUCACUUCUGGCAGCAGAGUCCCACUGUGCCAGCGUCCCAGCCUGGCAGCACAUGGAACACCCCUCCAUGUCUGACUGCACUGACUGUGCUACUUGUUUUUCUUCCAGGACUGAGGCACAUCCUGGACACAGAUGCCACCCUGCUGUAUAUACGUUUUGUUGUUGUGUUCUGAUAGAUGUUUUAGGGUUUGCUUAAGUGUUCUGUAAAUACGUUUCAUGUAGUUUUGUUAGAUAUGUUCUUAGGUAAAUAGGUUCUAUAGUUUGUUGUUGUUGUUACCAAUAUUCUUACAAUGUAAAUAUGUUGUGUAGUUCAUUCUUGUUCCUUUUCUUCUACAAAUAAACAUUCUUUGUUUUUCA
rnacentral:lncRNA from 1 species